CUAUUGUCCUAAAUAUGUAAAUAAUUUCACACAACCCAAUAAGAGAUUCUCUUCAUCUUCUCUUUCUAUAUUAAAAUUAAUCAACUCAAAACCCAAAUUUCCCUCACUUUUCAUCCUUCAGGGGAAAAUCGAUCCAUUCCUCCAAUGAGAUCACAGAAAAGGCCGAUCCACGCCGUCACGACAUGGGUGCGACGACAGCCGCCCAAGGUCAAGGCUUUUUU
rnacentral:misc_RNA from 1 species